AUGAAUUCACUAUAAUUUUUUAUGGUUUAUGAUCAUUUCAGGUAUAUAAAUAACGAAAGGUUUUUAUAUCACAAUCAUAAUUAUUGUUGUAUUUCAAUCGUUAAAAUGUUCACGAAAUUGGUAGCCAGGUUAUGUUUGAUCAACUUUAUUAUUUUCUGCGGAUCCAGAAUGGCCUUUCCCCAUCUCCCAGGACUAUCAAAAAUGUUACCACAUGAAGAAACUACUUCAACAACCAGUGUUCCUCCGCAAAUUAAUGUAGACGUCAAUGUGCACGCAGAGACGACGCCGCAACCAUCGCAAACAUAUCUCUUAAGCAAGGAGAAUCUAUCAAAGGAUCAAUCGUAGCUGUUAUAGCAACGAAAGGAUUUUAUUCCAAAAUUAAUAUGAUAAAAUAAACAUAAUCUUCUAUUUUUUCACAUAAAUAUUCAUAUUAGUCAUUGUUUAUAAAUUAUCGGGACUUGUAAAAUGUUGUCGUUUAAUAAAUUAAUAUACACAGAA